AUUAGCCUUUCUUGCCGACUAACGUAGGGAACAGUUGCUCGUUCGUGAAACCGUUUUCCCUCUGCCUUUCCAGUCUAGGAGACCACUUAUGAAAUUCCGAAUCGAGCUACACGGAAAGCGAAGGCUCCACGCUGGUGGAUUUCAGGACCUGCAAACCUCAGGUGUCCAGGGGCAUGGUGGGUGGGGGCACCCGCAGCCACGUGACAAGCUUCCGCUAAUCGGGGCGAAGACCGCACUUUGCGGCUCGGCUUCAAACGAACUACCGCAAGGCCGAGCGGCCUCUGGGUCCUCCCCCCUCCGUCUGGGUCUGGGGCCCCGCGAGACGCCGGCCGGGGUGGGG
rnacentral:lncRNA from 1 species